AGGGGAGGGACAGAGCGGUAUGCGGGAUAGAGUUUGAUAGGGGUGGAUCCGGAGGUGCACGCGGCGCACCUUAUCACGCCACUCCGCCGUUUUAGUUUUUGCCCAGCCCCUGCAUAUUCCAACUUUCUUCCUCGUCCGUCCCCGUAUCGUUGAACACGGUGUUCACGUGCGCGCGGACACUUUACACGGAAGCGUAAACCCUUCCAUCGCGCCCAACGUAGCG